rnacentral:misc_RNA from 1 species
CCUUAAAGAACCUGCCUUUGUAGUGCUCACACAGAUUGUCUGAUGAACGUAAAGAAGCAAGGCGUCUUGCGAUUGAGACUUCAGUGUCCCCUUCGUCUAGAGGCCCAGGACACCGCCCUUUCACGGCGGUAACAGGGGUUCGAAUCCCCUAGGGGACGCCACUUGCUGGUUCGUGAGUGAAAGACGCGUGCCGAUGUAUCUCAAAACUCAUCUUCGGGUGAUGUUUGAGAUAUUUGCUCUUUAAAAAUCUGGAUCAAGCUGAAAAUUGAAACGACACACAGUUAAUGUGUGUUCGAGUCUCUCAAAUUUUCGCAAUCAGAAGUGAAACAUCUUCGGGUUGUGA